CCCGGCUUAUCACCGGCAGUUUCUUUAGAGUGCUCAACUAAAUGGUAGCAACUAAAGACGAGGGUUGCGCUCGUUGCGGGACUUAACCCAACAUCUCGCGACACGAGCUGACGACAGCCAUGCAGCACCUGUCUCCGGUCCAGCCGAACUGAAGAACUCCAUCUCUGGAGUCCGCGACCGGGAUGUCAAGGGCUGGUAAGGUUCUGCGCGUUGCGUCGAAUUAAACAACAUGCUCCGCCGCUUGUGCGGGCCCCCGUCAAUUCCUUUGAGUUUUAAUCUUGCGACCGUACACCCCAGGCGGGAUGCUUAAUGCGUUAGCUGCGCCACUGAAGGGUAAACCCCCCAACGGCUAGCAUCCAUCGUUUACGGCGUGGACUAC
rnacentral:misc_RNA from 1 species